rnacentral:rRNA from 1 species
UACGUAGGGGGCGAGCGUUGUCCGGAGUUACUGGGCGUAAAGCGCUUGUAGGCGGUCCACCACGUUUGGGGUGACAGUUGCCGACUUAAUCGGCAAAGUGCCUCAAAGACUGGCGGACUUGAGGGCCACAGAGGGACAUGGAACUCCAGGUGUAGUGGUGAAAUGCGUAGAUAUCUGGAAGAACACCAAUGGCGAAGGCAAUGUUCUGGCUCGUUUCUGACGCUCAGGUGCGAAAGCCAGGGGAGCGAACGGG